GACGAACCGAGCGAACGUUGUUCGGAAUCACUGGGCGUAAAGCGCACGUAGGCGGAUUUGUCAGUCAGGGGUGAAAUCCCGGGGCUCAACCUCGGAACUGCCUUUGAUACAGCAAGUCUUGAGUUCGAGAGAGGUGGGUGGAAUUCCUAGUGUAGAGGUGAAAUUCGUAGAUAUUAGGAAGAACACCGGUGGCGAAGGCGGCCCACUGGCUCGAUACUGACGCUGAGGUGCGAAAGCGUGGGGAGCAAACAGG
rnacentral:rRNA from 1 species